rnacentral:SRP_RNA from 1 species
GCCGGGCACAGUGGCGGCACGUGCCUGUGGUCCCAGCUACUCGGGAGGCUGAGGCGGGAGGAUCGACUAAGCCCAGGAGUUCUGGGCUGUAGUGCGCUAUGCCGAUCGGGUGUCUGCACUAAGUUCGGCAUCAAUAUGGUGACCUCCCGGGAGCGGGGACCACCAGGUUGCCUAAGGAGGGGUGAACCGGCCCAGGUCGGAAACGGAGCAGGUCAAAACUCCCGUGCUGAUCAGUAGUGGGAUCGCGCCUGUGAAUAGCCACUGCACUCCAGCCUGGGCAACAUAGCGAGACCCCGUCUCUA